GUGAGGAAUAUUGGUCAAUGGACGAGAGUCUGAACCAGCCAAGUCGCGUGAAGGAAGACGGUUCUAUGAAUUGUAAACUUCUUUUGUGCAGGAAUAAAGUGGGUUACGUGUAACCUUUUGUAUGUACUGUACGAAUAAGGAUCGGCUAACUCCGUGCCAGCAGCCGCGGUAAUACGGAGGAUCCGAGCGUUAUCCGGAUUUAUUGGGUUUAAAGGGUGAGUAGGUGGAUUGAUAAUUCAGCGGUGAAAGUUUGCAGCUUAACUGUAAAAUUGCCGUUGAAACUGUCGGUCUUGAGUGCAAAUGAGGUAGGCGGAAUGUGUUGUGUAGCAGUGAAAUGCUUAGAUAUAACACAGAACUCCGAUUGCGAAGGCAGCUUACUGGGAUGCAACUGACACUGAUGCACGAAAGCGUGGGUAUCAAACAGGAUUAGAUACCCGAGUAGUCC
rnacentral:rRNA from 1 species